rnacentral:rRNA from 1 species
CCUACGGGUGGCAGCAGUGGGGAAUAUUGCACAAUGGGGGAAACCCUGAUGCAGCGACGCCGCGUGAGUGAAGAAGUAUUUCGGUAUGUAAAGCUCUAUCAGCAGGGAAGAAGAAAGACGGUACCUGACUAAUAAGCCCCGACUAACUACGUGCCAGCAGCCGCGGUAAGACGUAGGGGGCAAGCGUUAGCCGGAUUUACUGGGGGUAACGGGAGCGUAGAGGGGUGUGCAAGUCUGAAGUGAAAGCCCAGGGCUCAACCCUGGGAGUGCUGUGGAAACUGUGGAGCUAGAGUGCUGGAGAGGUAAGUGGAAUGCCUAGUGUAGCGGUGAAAUGCGUAGAUAUUAGGAGGAACACCAGUGGCGAAGGCGGCUUACUGGACAGUAACUGACGUUGAGGCUCGAAAGCGUGGGGAGCAAACAGGAUUAGAUACCCGGGUAGUC